AUGCACGUUCAUCAUAGCCCUACCUGGAAACACCCCACAUUUCAUCCACUGAGGAACAGACAAAGCGCGGUCCAGACACACAAUGGAAGAUUAACUGGACAGAAUAGGGGUAAAAGCACCAGCGCUCCCUAUGACACUGAGGAACCUCAAAACACUGUGCUCAGCGAAGGAAGCCAGCACAGAAGAUCACAUUACACUGUCAUUUCACACCAGACCUCCAGAACUGGGAAAUCCAGGGAAACGGGAACCAGGGAGGACCCUGGCCCCCACUGGUUGACCACAGCUGAUCGAGUCAGGAAGCGACACCUGACCCAGGCUGAAUGUCUCUCUUAAGAUUCAGGAAUCCGGAUCCCCGGAGUCCAGAAAAUUGAAAUGAUGACAAGAUGUGAUGGGGAACACUUGUCUCAGCUCCAUGUGGUUUUAGUGGGUGUCCUGCCCGGGGUCUGGAGGAUCUACUCUCAAGAUGGUAUGCUUUUAUGGCUGUCAAAUGGUGCUGGCUGCUGGCUGCUGGCUGGGUGUCUGGCUGGGGCCGUCGGCUGGAGGACCUUGUUUCUCUCCUUGUUGGCAUGUCCAGGUGCUGCUUAGGCUUCCUUACAGCACGGCAACUCGGUUCCAAGCUUGAGCACCCCAAGAGCAUGAGGCAGAAGCUGUGUUUCUGUUUAUGAACUGACCUUUGAAGGCACAUUAUGUCACUUUUGUGAUAAUCACACACUGGCACAGAUUCAGGGGAAGGGAAUGCAGAGCCCACCUCUCAACAGGCGGGUGUCAACCCCACACUGAAAGAAGAUCAGGUGGAAUGGGGGAUCUUGUGGACAUUUCACAGUGUUAUGGCAAAGACAGGAAAGCAAGCACACAUCAGUCGAUUGUGGCUCAGUUCUUUGAAGGAGACCAACAGGCUUUUGUAGGAUGAAAGGGGAACUUCCUUUCUGCAGUACAGUCAGGGAGCCUCUCUGGAGCUGAGAAAAGAAAGAUUUCGUGGUCUGUUGUCAUGGGAAGAGGCACCAGGCAAAAGAGCAAGGACCCACGUCUGGAGGCCCCAAAGGGUGCAGGUUGGAAGUCUAGGCAGACGUGGGCUUGAAUCCCGUCCACUCAUUAUUUUCCCUCUGGCAAGGCACUUUACCUUGGUGGGACUAAGUGAGUCUUUUAAAAAGGAGCGUGCAAUUCCACAUCACCUGAGUCCAUGAAAUCACCAAUGUGCUCUUAUCCUAGUGCCUGGCUCACAUGUGGGUUACAGCUUUUUUAUCUUUCUCCCUGGUUUUUGUUUUUAAAUGGCUGGGUGGUACUAUGUUUAUAAGGCUUGGAGAGUUUCCUCCAAAAUGAAAGCAGUACUGCCAGCCCUACUUUAAGGGGGAAUGAUUUCCAAACUGUACAGAACAAAUGCCUCUAAUAGCUGCCUUUCAAUGACUGCAGCCUGUCAGUGCUGGAGUGACGGACUACAGGAAAUGAGAGGGUCAGUUGGAGUUGCGGAGAGGGGCUUGGAACUGCAAAGGCGUGGAGUGUACACUGGCCAAAGGUGGAAGGUGCUGACCAGUGGCUACUUGGAAGAAAUCACCAUGUUCCAGUAGGAGCUCAGUUGCAAUCCACUGCUUGUGUGAAGGAAGGCUGCUGAUUCAGCAGCAAAAGGGUUGGAAGUAAAAUGGAAAAAAUAAAAAGUAGAGCACAGGAGUGGUGGCAAUGUUUAUUUCAACAGGCAGAGGGCUGGACGUCUCCAUGCAGGAAUCCUUGACCCUCCUCGAGGGGACGGCCGCCAGGAACAGCAUUACUGCUCACUUCCACAACGUUUACUGCGUGCUGCGUGCCUAGCUGUUGAAUUCCCACGGUAACCCUAUGGGAACUAUGUCAUCUCCAUUUUACAGAUGAGAAAACGGAGCUCUGAGACAUUAGGUGACCGCCCAAAGCCACAAUGCUCGUGGGCCCGGGGCCAGGAUUUGGACCUGAAUCUCUUGAGGACAAGGGUGUAGUUCCUUGGGCCCACACAUUUAUAAUAGGGAAAUUUCCAUGGACACGAAAUGGACACGAAACAGCCCAGAGAUGCUCUUUCAUACCCAUUUAGGUGAACAAGGUAAAAUAAAUGGAAAGAAAAUCAGAAUUUUGAGGACACCAGUGUCGGCGGGAAACAGAGAACCACCAGCCCAGGCACGCUGCAGGGUGAGAGGUCAAGUGCUCCAGGUGUUUGGAAAGCGAUUUGGCAGCUUCCAAUAAAGCCCAAGAUGUAGCUGGUCCUGUGAUGCCACCGCAGACAUGUAGAGAAUUUCUGCAGAGGGGCAAAGGGAGACAGUGCUAGAAAGCUCACUGAAUCACUCUAGCUGCACAAAACAAAGGAAGCCCAUUGCCCUCAAUGUCCCUCGUUGACUGGGUGUAUGAGGAGGUGACUGUCCUCCUAGCCGCCGGUACUCUGGGGAGGGGGCUUCGGUGCCCAAGGCAAGAGGUUGAGGUUGAAUCCUGGGACUCGAAGGAGGGGCUGAUUUUCCUGAGAGCCGGGUGAGCCAAGAGUGGGGACCAUCGUGAUUGUCUCCACAGGGGAAGAGCUGAGCAGGGCCUCUGGCUGCUUGGAGGCUCCGGAGCGCACCUCUUUUCCAGUCCUAAUCUGAGGCUCCAGGCCUGGCUUGCAGUUCCUGGCACACCGCGCUGCGAAGUCACCGGCCCACACUCCCAGCGCGGGGACCCUGUGCAGUCCCCACCCCCAUCAGCCCACAGCACCGGGCUGCUGCCAUUUCCCCCCGCAAGCAUUCCAGGAGGGCUGGGGACGCCGGCUUCUGCCUGACGAUCCAGGAAAUGCAUUUUAAAUGGGUCCCAGGAUGCUUGGAUCCAAGAACCAGACACCAUCUCUUGGAGGGUGGCGGAGGCUGAGAGUGUG
ensembl:lncRNA